rnacentral:lncRNA from 1 species
ACGUUGUGACUGGAAGAAGUGCUUUUCUUGGGUCGGGAAGAAGGGAACAGGACACGUUUUCAAGGAUGCUCAAGCUGGCGUGAGGCUUCUUGGGCGCAAAGACUGCGCACAGAAGCCAAGAAACCACAGCAUCAGACUGAAGGCCUUGGCCUUGCUUGAGCAAUCCAAGGAAAAUCAAGAUAGAGUUUCCAACACACCAGGGCUUAAAUCGAGUAAAGAAAUACAAGGUAUUUUACAAAAGUCAUAAUAACUCUUUUGUACUGUCUAUAUAUCAAGUAUACCUUGG